UUUAAAUACCCCAAACCCUACAAUUUCACCCACCAUCAGCCGUUUCACACCCACCUCCCCUCAUUCUCUUUCUCUCUCCUCGUUCAGCUCGGAUCCCAUCUCCCCUCUUCUCCUUCAUCUUCUCCUCCUUCUCUUUCUCAUCUUCUUCGAUCUCCACCACCACCAAUUUUUCCACCACCUCGAAGACCACCACCGCAACAAUAACACCACCACCGCAACAAUAACACCACGAACAUGUGCAUGAGCAACAACGACUUUAAUCGAGGUAUAUUGAUUUAGAUCUUAAAUUGAAGAAUCAUGAUGCAUGAAUAUUGUUUUUGAUGUUGUAACUUUUUUUUUAUUUAUAUUGUAAUUUUUUUUAUUUAUAUGUUGUAAUUGAUCAAUUUUAUUGAUUUAUAUUGUAAAUAAAAUUUCGAUUAUAUAGAUUGAUAUUGUUUGAUUUA